rnacentral:rRNA from 1 species
AGUGAACGCUGGCGGUAGGCCUAACACAUGCAAGUCGAACGGCAGCACAGUAAGAGCUUGCUCUUACGGGUGGCGAGUGGCGGACGGGUGAGGAAUACAUCGGAAUCUACUUUUUCGUGGGGGAUAACGUAGGGAAACUUACGCUAAUACCGCAUACGACCUACGGGUGAAAGCAGGGGAUCUUCGGACCUUGCGCGAUUGAAUGAGCCGAUGUCGGAUUAGCUAGUUGGCGGGGUAAAGGCCCACCAAGGCGACGAUCCGUAGCUGGUCUGAGAGGAUGAUCAGCCACACUGGAGCUGAGACACGGUCCAGACUCCUACGGGAGGCAGCAGUGGGGAAUAUAGGACAAUGGGCGCAAGCCUGAUCCAGCCAUACCGCGUGGGUGAAGAAGGCCUUCGGGUUGUAAAGCCCUUUUGUUGGGAAAGAAAAGCAGCAGGUUAAUACCCCGCUGUUCUGACGGUACCCAAAGAAUAAGCACCGGCUAACUUCGU